AUUCUGCCCAAGCGGGGAAGGAUGAGAAGCUUCGACUAAGGUUCGACUCGAGCGCCAGCGAGAGAGCGUUGCCGCAGGCAACGACCCGAAGGGCGAAGCGCG
rnacentral:sRNA from 1 species